GAUGAACGCUGGCGGCGUGCCUAAUACAUGCAAGUCGAGCGAACAGACGAGGAGCUUGCUCCUCUGACGUUAGCGGCGGACGGGUGAGUAACACGUGGAUAACCUCCCUAUAAGUCUGGGAUAACUUCGGGAAACCGGAGCUAAUACCGGAUAAUAUAUUGAACCGCAUGGUUCAAUAGUGAAAGACGGUUUUGCUGUCACUUAUAGAUGGAUCCGCGCGGCAUGAGCUAGUUGGUAGGGUAACGGCUUACCAAGGCGACGAUGCGUAGCCGACCUGAGAGGGUGAUCGGCCACACGGGAACUGAGACACGGUCCAGACUCCUACGGGAGGCAGCAGUAGGGAAUCUUCCGCAAUGGGCGAAAGCCUGACGGAGCAACGCCGCGUGAGUGAUGAAGGUCUUCGGAUCGUAAAGCUCUGUUAUUAGGGAAGAACAAAUGUGUAAGUAACUAUGCACGUCUUGACGGUACCGAAUCAGAAAGCCACGGCUAACUACGUG
rnacentral:rRNA from 1 species